UAGAGUUUGAUCCUGGCUCAGGAUGAACGCUGGCGGUCUGCUUAACACAUGCAAGUCGAACGCAACCUUCGGGUUGAGUGGCGGACGGGUGAGUAACGCGUGAGAAUCUGCCUUGGGGUCGGGGACAACCACUGGAAACGGUGGCUAAUACCGGAUAAGCCUUUGGGUAAAAAAUUUAUUGCCCCAAGAGGAGCUCGCGUCUGAUUAGCUAGUUGGUGAGGUAAAAGCUCACCAAGGCAGCGAUCAGUAGCUGGUCUGAGAGGACGAUCAGCCACACUGGGACUGAGACACGGCCCAGACUCCUACGGGAGGCAGCAGUGGGGAAUUUUCCGCAAUGGGCGAAAGCCUGACGGAGCAAGACCGCGUGAGGGAGGAAGGCUCUUGGGUUGUAAACCUCUUUUCUCAGGGAAGAAGCUCUGACGGUACCUGAGGAAUCAGCCUCGGCUAACUCCGUGCCAGCAGCCGCGGUAAUACGGAGGAGGCAAGCGUUAUCCGGAAUUAUUGGGCGUAAAGCGUCCGCAGGUGGCGAUUCAAGUCUGCUGUCAAAGCACGGGGCUUAACUCCGUUAAGGCAGUGGAAACUGAAUAGCUAGAGUGCCGUAGGGGUAGAGGGAAUUCCCGGUGUAGCGGUGAAAUGCGUAGAGAUCGGGAAGAACAUCGGUGGCGAAAGCGCUCUACUGGACGGCAACUGACACUCAGGGACGAAAGCUAGGGGAGCGAAUGGGAUUAGAUACCCCAGUAGUCCUAGCUGUAAACGAUGGAUACUAGGUGUAGCUUGUAUCGACCCGAGCUGUGCCGAAGCUAACGCGUUAAGUAU
rnacentral:rRNA from 1 species